GCUGGGGCCCAGGCCCGGGGAGCGCAGCAAGACCGAGGUCACAGCAAAAGGAGUCUCUCUCGCGCCAGAGCCUCGGGCUUUAGGAUGACCUGCUCAGGGCUGAUGGCUGCAGCAAGGAGAGGAGCUUCUCGAGAGACUAUUUAGCUACGAGCUGUUUAUUUAUGGCUGAAAAUGUGUGUGAGAGAGAAAGAAUUGAUCUUUCCCGGGAUUUAAAGAUGGAGCAAAGGGAGCUGGAGGGAAUUUUUGUUUGCUUAUUUUGCUUAGACUCAGCUCACAAAUUGGGGAUAAUGGGGGGAAGGAGAUGCCUGGUCCUCCCUCCACCCUUCUCCUCACGACCUUCCCGGACCCCGCACCCUUGAGCAGCCUGGGCGGACCCGGACCCCGGAGGACUAGUCCAGCAGUCUGUUGGCUCGCCUGCUCCGCAGUGGGCUGCAGAAGAGGGCUUCACAGAGGGGGCCACCCCUGCCCCUUCUCUUUAAAUGAGUCCAAUAAAAGGGGGCAAUCCUAGGAUGCGAACCUGAUCGGAUGUCAAAGAGGCAACUUGCCAUGAAAUCCGCUAAUGCACCGCGACUCACCGGGGCUUGAAAGGCUUCCUCCCAGUGGAUCUGGAUUAUUUUACAAUUCAACUCUAAAAUAUAACCCAGAAGAAAAGACAUUGAAAAACAUAGUUUUGCCUCUAGGGUGAAGACAGCAGAGCUCCAAGCACAUAUCUCCUCCUUAUCCUUAAUGCUUUUUCACUAAAGAGCCAACCUAGAACUUCAUCUUGUGACAACAUCAAGACCCUCAGCUAGCCAGCCAGAUCUUGGCUAUGGUAUUUGCUUCAAAGCCUAGAGCCUAUCUCAGCCCAUCAACUGUCAAGAGAUGAGUGGUUUAAGCUGGAUAUGCAAUAGGUUUCAGGAACACUGAGUUCCCAAUCAAUUCUCCUCACUUCUAGGACCUGGUAUGAACAGUGUGACUUGCAUACAUUCCCCAGGAAAAUUCUCUUCUAACAUUUACUAAAUAUAAAUACCUAAUUUGUUUUUAUUGGUUCAAAACCUAAAAUGUUGCUAGCAUCAAGA